CCGGCGACCCAACGCACUUCCUGGCCUCGUUCAAGAACUUCUCGAUGUUCUUGGAGAUCAGCCCUGGCACGUCCUUCAUGAGGUGGAAGAUGAGCCCCGCCUCCGUGAGGUGCCCGUCGAUGGCGCCGUCGCUCUCCGGCAAGAUCGACUCGCCCGCCCAGUGCACCUCGAACAACGCCUUCUCCGCCUCGGGCUUGGGGUCGGAUCCCACCACGUACACGCCGGCGCCAUCGCCGAACAGCGCCGAUCCCACCAGGCCGUCCAAGUGGUUCUCGCUCGGGGCGCGGUAGGUGACGGCCGUGACCUCGCUGCACACCGCCAGCACCCUGGCGCCCUUGUUGUUCUCGGCCAGAUCCUUGGCCACCCGGAGCACGGACGCGCCGCCGAAGCACCCGGUCUGGUACAUCAUCACCCGCUUCACGGUGGGCUUCAACCCCAGCAGCUUGGCCAGGGCGUGGUCGGCUCCGGGCAUGUUCACGCCGCUGGUGGUGGCGAACACGAUGUGUGUGAUGUCGGACUUGCGGCCGCCCCACUCCUUGAUGGCCUUCUGCGCGGCCUCGGCAGCCAGCUUGGGCACCUGGACGACGACGAUGUCGUGGCGGACGUUCAGGGAGGGCUCCAUGUACGUGCACAUGCUGGGGUUGGCCUUGAGCACCUCCUCCGUGAGGAACAUGUGGCGCUUCCUGAUGCCAGACUUGUCGCAGAUGCGCUUGAAUUUGGCGUGCAGGGCCUCCUUCUCGCUGGUGUUGGUGAUGUUGAAGAAGAAGUCGGGGUACUCGCUCUGCAGGAACUCGGUGGGAGGCACAGCAGUGCCGA
rnacentral:lncRNA from 1 species